UGGUUAGCUCAGUUGGUAGAGCGCUCCACUGGAGAUGGAGAGGCACCUGGUUCGAUGCCAAGACCA
rnacentral:tRNA from 1 species